AAGACCAAGGGUUCCUGUCCAACGUUAAUCGGGGCAGGGUGAGUCGACCCCUAAGGCGAGGCCGAAAGGCGUAGUCGAUGGGAAACGGGUUAAUAUUCCCGUACUUGGUGUUACUGCGAAGGGGGGACGGAGAAGGCUAUGUUGGCCGGGCGACGGUUGUCCCGGUUUAAGCGUGUAGGUGUGUGUUCCAGGUAAAUCCGGUUCACUUUAACACUGAGGCGUGAUGACGAGGCACUACGGUGCUGAAGCAACAAAUGCCCUGCUUCCAGGAAAAGCCUCUAAGCAUCAGGUAACAUCAAAUCGUACCCCAAACCGACACAGGUGGUCAGGUAGAGAAUACCAAGGCGCUUGAGAGAACUCGGGUGAAGGAACUAGGCAAAAUGGUGCCGUAACUUCGGGAGAAGGCACGCUGACACGUAGGUGAAGUGAUUUACUCAUGGAGCUGAAGUCAGUCGAAGAUACCAGCUGGCUGCAACUGUUUAUUAAAAACACAGCACUGUGCAAACACGAAAGUGGACGUAUACGGUGUGACGCCUGCCCGGUGCCGGAAGGUUAAUUGAUGGGGUCAGCGCAAGCGAAGCUCCUGAUCGAAGCCCCGGUAAACGGCGGCCGUAACUAUAACGGUCCUAAGGUAGCGAAAUUCCUUGUCGGGUAAGUUCCGACCUGCACGAAUGGCGUAAUGAUGGCCAGGCUGUCUCCACCCGAGACUCAGUGAAAUUGAACUCGCUGUGAAGAUGCAGUGUACCCGCGGCAAGACGGAAAGACCCCGUGAACCUUUACUAUAGCUUGACACUGAACAUUGAGCCUUGAUGUGUAGGAUAGGUGGGAGGCUUUGAAGUGUGGACGCCAGUCUGCAUGGAGCCGGCCUUGAAAUACCACCCUUUAAUGUUUGAUGUUCUAACGUGGACCCGUGAUCCGGGUUGCGGACAGUGUCUGGUGGGUAGUUUGACUGGGGCGGUCUCCUCCUAAAGAGUAACGGAGGAGCACGAAGGUUGGCUAAUCCUGGUCGGACAUCAGGAGGUUAGUGCAAUGGCAUAAGCCAGCUUGACUGCGAGCGUGACGGCGCGAGCAGGUGCGAAAGCAGGUCAUAGUGAUCCGGUGGUUCUGAAUGGAAGGGCCAUCGCUCAACGGAUAAAAGGUACUCCGGGGAUAACAGGCUGAUACCGCCCAAGAGUUCAUAUCGACGGCGGUGUUUGGCACCUCGAUGUCGGCUCAUCACAUCCUGGGGCUGAAGUAGGUCCCAAGGGUAUGGCUGUUCGCCAUUUAAAGUGGUACGCGAGCUGGGUUUAGAACGUCGUGAGACAGUUCGGUCCCUAUCUGCCGUGGGCGCUGGAGAACUGAGGGGGGCUGCUCCUAGUACGAGAGGACCGGAGUGGACGCAUCACUGGUGUUCGGGUUGUCAUGCCAAUGGCACUGCCCGGUAGCUAAAUGCGGAAGAGAUAAGUGCUGAAAGCAUCUAAGCACGAAACUUGCCCCGAGAUGAGUUCUCCCUGAGACUUUAGGUCUCCUGAAGGAACGUUGAAGACGACGACGUUGAUAGGCCGGGUGUGUAAGCGCAGCGAUGCGUUGAGCUAACCGGUACUAAUGAACCGUGAGGCUUAACCUUACA
rnacentral:rRNA from 1 species